rnacentral:rRNA from 1 species
GUGAACAACGAAGGGCGCGCGGUGGAUGCCUAGGCUCUCGGAGGCGAUGAAGGACGUGAUAAGCCGCGAUAGGCCACGGCGAGGUGCAAGUAACCCUUGACCCGUGGAUUUCCGAAUGGGGCAACCCGGCUGGAUAGAUUCCAGUCAUGCAGUAAUGCAAGCGAACGCGGGGAACUGAAACAUCUCAUUACCCGCAGGAGAAGAAAACAAAAUGUGAUUCCCCCAGUAGUGGCGAGCGAACGGGGAAGAGCCCAAACCGUUGCCGUUUCGGCGACAGCGGGGUCAUGGGACCGCGACAUUCGACGGAAGACGAAGUGCAAUUACCUGGAAAGGUAAGCCGUGGAGGGUGACAGCCCCGUGCACGACACCUCUUUCAAAGAUAGCGGGAUCCCGAGUAGGGCGGGACACGAGAAAUCCUGCCUGAAUUCGCCAGGACCUCCUGGCAAGGCUAAAUACUCCCGAGAGACCGAUAGUGAACCAGUACCGCGAGGGAAAGGUGAAAAGUACCCCGAGCAGGGGGGUGAAAUAGACCCUGAACCCGCGCGCCUACAAGCGGUCGGAGCCGGGUAAUCCGGUGACGGCGUGCCUUUUGCAUAAUGAGCCUACGAGUUAGUCGUCACCAGCGAGGUUAAGGGCUUCAGGCCCGUUAGCCGAAGUGAAAGCGAGCCUUAACAGGGCGUUCAGUUGGUGGCGCUAGACGCGAAACCUUGUGAUCUACCCACGAGCAGGUUGAAGUCGCGGUAACACGUGAUGGAGGACCGAACCGGUAAACGUUGAAAAGUUUUCGGAUGACUCGCGGGUAGGGGUGAAAGGCCAAUCAAACUGGGAAAUAGCUCGUACUCUCCGAAAUGCAUUUCGGUGCAGCCUGUGAUGUUCUGUUCCAGAGGUAGAGCUACUGGUUGGACGCGAGGGCUUCACCGCCUAUCAAAUCCGGAUAAACUCCGAAUGCUGGAACACGAAAUCAUGGAGUGAGCCCGCGGGUGCUAAGGUCCGCGGACGAGAGGGAAAGAACCCGGACCACCGGCUAAGGUCCCGGAUGGACAGUUAAGUUGAUCAAACGAGGUGGGAUCGCUGAGACAGCUAGGAUGUUGGCUUGGAAGCAGCCAUUCAUUUAAAGAGUGCGUAACAGCUCACUAGUCGAGCGAUCCCGCGUGGAUAAUACACGGGCAUCAAACUGUCAACCGAAGCCGUGGGGUUAGUGAUGAGCUAACCGGUAGGAGAGCAUUCCUGCCAGCUUUGAAGGUCACCCGCGAGAGUGACUGGAGCGGCAUGAAAAGCAAAUGUAGGCAUAAGUAACGAUAAUGGGGGCGAGAACCCCCCACGCCGCAAGACCAAGGAUUCCCCGGCAAUGUCAAUCAGCCGGGGGUCAGCCGGCCUCUAAGGCUCACCCGAAAGGGGAUGCCGACGAGAAACGGGUUAACAUUCCCGUGCUUCUCGUCACCGUGACGCGGUGACGGGGUGAUGAAUGGACCGCGCGCUGACGGAAUAGCGCGUUGAAGGCCGUACCCUAUGACGGUGGUAGUCAAGCACGCCACCCGAGGCGAAAGUCGAUAGUACCUCGAGGCCUCGGCCGAGGGGAUAGCGUCCAGGCAAUUUACCCCCUAGAAAACCCGCUAAACUUCAAGUGACGAGGAACCGUACUGUAAACGGACACACGUGGUCGGGUAGAACAUACCAAGGCGCUCGAGUGAUUCAUGGUCAAGGAACUAGGCAAAAUAGUCCUGUAACUUAGGGAAAAAGGACGCUCUAGUGAUAGAGCCGCAGAGUAAUGGCCCAGGCGACUGUUUACCAAAAACACAUGGCUAUGCCAAAUCGAAAGAUGACGUAUAUGGCCUGACACCUGCCCGGUGCCGGAAGGUUAAGAGGAGAGCUCAUCGGAAACGAGAAGGUUUGAAUUGAAGCCCCGGUAAACGGCGGCCGUAACUAUAACGGUCCUAAGGUAGCGAAAUUCCUUGUCGGGUAAGUUCCGACCUG